GCAUUAAUGGGGUAGUGGUAACCUGGGUCGUUGCCAUCAGAUGAUGAGGUCAUCAGAAUUGAUUUCUCGACCCGCCGGGGGUUCGAUUCCCCCUUAAUGCA